rnacentral:rRNA from 1 species
CUAUAAUUGUCAGCUAAGUGGCGCACGGGUGAGUAAUGUAUAGAUAACCUGCCCUUAAGAAAGGAAUAACAGUUGGAAACGACUGCUAAUGCCCUAUAUGCCUUUAAUACAUAAGUAUGCAAGGGAAACGCUUUAGUGCUUAAGGAUGGGUCUGUAUGGUAUCAGCUUGUUGGUGAGGUAAUGGCUCACCAAGGCUAUGACGCCUAACUGGUUUGAGAGGAUGAUCAGUCACACUGGAACUGAGACACGGUCCAGACUCCUACGGGAGGCAGCAGUGGGGAAUAUUGCACAAUGGACGAAAGUCUGAUGCAGCAACGCCGCGUGGAGGAUGACACAUUUCGGUGCGUAAACUCCUUUUAUAUAGGAAGAUAAUGACGGUACUAUAUGAAUAAGCACCGGCUAACUCCGUGCCAGCAGCCGCGGUAAUACGGAGGGUGCAAGCGUUACUCGGAAUCACUGGGCGUAAAGAGCGUGUAGGCGGGUAUAUAAGUCAGAAGUGAAAUCCAAUAGCUCAACUAUUGAACUGCUUUUGAAACUGUAUACCUAGGAUGUGGGAGAGGUAGAUGGAAUUUCUGGUGUAGGGGUAAAAUCCGUAGAGAUCAGAAGGAAUACCGAUUGCGAAGGCGAUCUACUGGAACAUUAUUGACGCUGGGACGCGAAAGCGUGGGGAGCAAACAGGAUUAGAUACCCUGGUAGUCCACGCCCUAAACGAUGUACACUAGUUGUUGUGAGGCUCGACCUUGCAGUAAUGCAGUUAACACAUUAAGUGUACCGCCUGGGGAGUACGGUCGCAAGAUUAAA